GCAGGCUCUAUCUUGAAAUAGUAGAUGCUCCUCCAGUGCUCGAUUUGGAUUUUCUAUCAAUACUAAGCUUGAAGUUGAACUGGUUUGUCGCCGCUUCAACGGAACUUGCUAUUAUACCACACAACCAAGAACAUCUCCAUCUAUUUCACUUGACUAUUCCGUAUGGAUUGGUGAUUUAUACACUUUGACUGUUCUGUACUGUAUGGAAUUUGAGUAUUCAUAAGAAUGACUUGUCUUAUACUCCCUCAUGGAGUCUCCAAGACGAAAUCUU